ACUUACAUUCCCACCCAGAGUAUGUGAGCAUCCGCUAACCUUUACCAGGGCCCUUUAAACCGAUUUUUAAUUUCACUGAGGGCUGGAGGGCUUAGGAUCACAAAUACACUCUGUCUUGGGAUGAAACCGUCCCAUGUUGACCUACAAACCACAGGUUUUUAUUGGCCUGGCUUGGACUCGAAGCUCCGUGCCAGGUGUGGGGAGCUAAGGGGAUGCCAGCAUCCCCGGCAGGGAAGAUCUGAGCCCUGAUAAGACGGAUUUUUAAACC
rnacentral:lncRNA from 1 species